rnacentral:sRNA from 1 species
AGACCCCAUCCGGCGCUUAUCUCCGGCACUCAUGAUGGCUUAGCUCUUGAAGGGGUUUAAGAAUGUU